rnacentral:rRNA from 1 species
AUUGAACGCUGGCGGCAUGCUUUACACAUGCAGGUCGAACGGCAGCGCGGGCUUCGGCCUGGCGGCGAGUGGCGAACGGGUGAGUAAUACAUCGGAACGUGCCCAGUAGUGGGGGAUAGCUCGGCGAAAGCCGGAUUAAUACCGCAUACGACCUGAGGGUGAAAGCGGGGGAUCUUCGGACCUCGCGCUAUUGGAGCGGCCGAUGGCAGAUUAGCUAGUUGGUGGGGUAAAGGCCUACCAAGGCGACGAUCUGUAGCUGGUCUGAGAGGACGACCAGCCACACUGGAACUGAGACACGGCCCAGACUCCUACGGGAGGCAGCAGUGGGGAAUUUUGGACAAUGGGCGAAAGCCUGAUCCAGCAAUGCCGCGUGUGUGAUGAAGGCCUUCGGGUUGUAAAGCACUUUUGGCGGGAACGAAAAGGACUGUGCCAAUACCACGGUUCGAUGACGGUACCCGCAGAAUAAGCACCGGCUAACUACGUG